UACUACUCCUCCCCUAACACUCUAUAUUGGAAUGAAACAGAGAUGAUUAGCAUGGCUCCUGAUAAAGUGUGACACCCAGAUUUGUGAAGUGUUCCAAAAGAAA
ensembl:snRNA U6 U6 spliceosomal RNA